UACGGAGGGUGCAAGCGUUAAUCGGAAUUACUGGGCGUAAAGGGUGCGUAGGCGGUUGUUUAAGUCUGUUGUGAAAUCCCCGGGCUCAACCUGGGAAUGGCAAUGGAUACUGGGCAGCUAGAGUGUGUCAGAGGAUGGUGGAAUUCCCGGUGUAGCGGUGAAAUGCGUAGAGAUCGGGAAGAACACCCGUGGCGAAGGCGGUUCUCUGGGACGGUACUGACGCUGAGACGCGAAAGCGUGGGGAGCGAACAGG
rnacentral:rRNA from 1 species